rnacentral:rRNA from 1 species
UACGGGGGGGGCAAGCGUUGUUCGGAAUUACUGGGCGUAAAGGGCUCGUAGGCGGCCUACUAAGUCAGACGUGAAAUCCCUCGGCUUAACCGGGGAACUGCGUCUGAUACUGGAUGGCUUGAGUUCGGGAGAGGGAUGCGGAAUUCCAGGUGUAGCGGUGAAAUGCGUAGAUAUCUGGAGGAACACCCGUGGCGAAGGCGGCUCUCUAGUACGGUACUGACGCUGAGACGCGAAAGCGUGGGGAGCGAACAGG